UUUGUAACUGUGAAAACUAUGUUUAUUUUGAAUACAAAUCUUGAAUUAUCUAUGGAUGAGUUUGAAAUAAAUCAUAGAAGAGAAUCACUUGUUGGAUUUUUAAUCCAGGUCCUUGUGUGUGUAUGAAAUACACACAUAUCUUCCUUGUUAGUCAUGGAAGGGCAAAAGUGGACCAAAAACAGGUCAGCUAAGACAGGCAUGUCUGGCUUCUGGGCUGUAGCUCAGCAUGUUGUAGGCUAGAGUCCAGUGACCUUCACUGGCAGGCUGCCCACAGUCCACGAGACCCUAGGCAGUCAGGCACUGAGCUCUGUCCUCCAGCUGAAAAUAAUGAAGAGCACACGGCUUCUCCCCAGUCAUCGUCAGGGUGACUCAAUCCUGCUGGAAGCCCCGAGGGCGCACAUGAGAGAAAUGCUUUUCAAGGGAGCCAAACUUGAUCUAUAAGCUUAUCUCAGGGUAUAGUCCAAAUAACACUUAUGACUCCAAGCAUAGGCAGCCAUGCUUACUACUCUCUAAAGAAGCUAGUACUUCUGAUGAGGAAUUGAAAGUCAAGAUGGGAGCUCUGCUUUUGUAUCCAUUCCCCAUAAUAGAGUUCAGCUCAUAUGUUAAAUGAAUUUUCACAUAAAUUUGUCCACUUGAACUUCUGCUUCUUUUUGAUAGUUGCCUAGAGAUGGUUCUGGAGAGUAGGUUCUUUUCCCAUCAUGAUCAGCAACUGCUCUUCAAAGUACAGGAGCUGGUCCACUUCAAAACAGUCGCUGGCUCGAGGCACCACUUUUUCCAAACACUCGCGGAUCUCUGCUUCGCUAGCAUUCUGAUGCCUUGCUCUCUUGAGGCCAUCUGGAGUGAAACUGAAGUCUGCCCAGAGCUGCUGGAAGCCCCAGCUGCCCUGCUGCCCACGGAGUCCUCUGAGGACGACUCCAGAGUCCCUCAACUCCUUGGAGGAGAUAAGCAGCCA
rnacentral:lncRNA from 1 species